rnacentral:pre_miRNA from 1 species
UGUGGGGAGGGGCACGCCUCCCUCAGCCUGGAUUGUGAGAGGGCACAGGCCAGGCUGAGGGACCCCACUGGUGCAUA